rnacentral:rRNA from 1 species
ACGCUCGACACCUACGGGAGGCAGCAGUGGGGAAUAUUGCACAAUGGGCGAAAGCCUGAUGCAGCAACGCCGCGUGAGCGAAGAAGGCCUUCGGUCGUAAAGCUCUGUCCUCAAGGAAGGUAAUGACGGUACUUGAGGAGGAAGUCCCGGCUAACUACGUGCUAGCAGCCGCGGUAAUCUGAGCGGGCUGGCAAGGC